CCUCUGCCAUGGUGAGCCAUCACCACCGGCACUCCAACACCCCCACCAGAGCAGGGGGGGCACUGAGGAGCCUCAGUGUUGUGUCCCCCCGAGCCCCCCAACCUCACCUGCGUGCUUCAGCAGCCAGGCAUAGACCCCCACUGCCACCAUCACCAUGGAGAUCACCUGCAGAGCAAGACCAUGGGGUUUAUUAGGGCUGGAAAUCCCCAAGGAGCAGCCGCUGGUGCCAUCAUGGCCCUUCCCAGAGGAAGGACAGAGCUUGGGGCAGAGGAACUGAAACCAAAACCCCUCUUCUUGCUCUUAGGGUCACCAAGGCCACCAGUGAUGGCAUCCACCACAUGUCACCAGGGAGCCACUCCCUGGCCCCACCACCCCAGGAGGUGUUUGCUAUGAAUGCUGAUGGAAGAACCCCCCCAUGGCCCCAGAAUGCCAUGAGUGAUGGCUGUGGGUCUCCAAAGAGCCACCUCGGGCAGCCCAUGAGGUCCUGGUGGGGCUGAACGUACCCUGGUCCUCACAGCACUGGUUCUGCCCCUGUGAGGAAGAUGAAGGUGCCUGUGUUGGCACAAGGAGGCACUGUCCUCUCAUCACAUCUAUCCGUUCAUCCAUCAGACCUGUACCUCCACAUGUGAUAUCUGUGUACCCCUCAGCAGAUCUGUGUGUCUACCCAUUAUCUAGAUCUCCGCUCCCAAGGAACAAGGGAUGGGACAAGAGGAAACGGCCUCAAGCUGCACCAGGGCAGGUUUAGAUGGAGCUGAGGAACAAUUCCUUCCCCAGAGGGUGCUCAGGCAUUGGAACAGGCUGCCCAGGGCAGGGCUGCAGUCACCGUCCCUGCAAGUGUUCACACACCGUGGAGACGAGGCCUCAGUGCCAUGGGUUAGUGGUGGCCUUGGCAGUGCUGGGAACGGUUGGGCUGGAUGAGCUUAAAGGGCUUUUCCCACCUGGCUGAUUCUGUG